rnacentral:rRNA from 1 species
CCUACGGGGGGCAGCAGUGAGGAAUAUUGGUCAAUGGGCGGAAGCCUGAACCAGCCAAGUAGCGUGCAGGAUGACGGCCCUACGGGUUGUAAACUGCUUUUAUACGGGAAUAACGCGCCUUACGUGUAGGGCUUUGCAUGUACCGUAUGAAUAAGGACCGGCUAAUUCCGUGCCAGCAGCCGCGGUUAUACGGAAGGUCCGGGCGUUAUCCGGAUUUUUUGGGUUUAAAGGGAGCGUUGACCGCAAGGCAAGCGUGCUGUGAAAUUUCCGGGCUCCACCCGGGCCUUGCAGCGCGAACUGGCGUGCUUGAGUCCGCGGAAAGCAGGCGGAAUUCGUGGUGUAGCGGUGAAAUGCUUAGAUAUGACGAAGAACCCCGAUUGCGAAGGCAGCUUGCUGCAGCGGAACUGACGCUGAUGCUCGAAAGCGCGGGUAUCGAACAGGAUUAGAUACCCGAGUAGUC